AGAGUUUGAUCCUGGCUCAGAACGAACGCUGGCGGCAGGCCUAAUACAUGCAAGUCGAGCGCCCAGCAAUGGGAGCGGCGGACGGGUGCGUAACACGUGGGAACGUACCCUUCGGUUCGGAAUAACUCAGGGAAACUUGAGCUAAUACCGAUUACGCCCGAAAGGGGAAAGAUUUAUCGCCGAAGGAUCGGCCCGCGUUCGAUUAGCUAGUUGGUGGGGUAAUGGCUCACCAAGGCAACGAUCGAUAGCUGGUUUGAGAGAACGACCAGCCACACUGGGACUGAGACACGGCCCAGACUCCUACGGGAGGCAGCAGUAGGGAAUCUUGGACAAUGGGGGAAACCCUGAUCCAGCCAUGCCGCGUGAGUGAUGAAGGCCUUCGGGUUGUAAAACUCUUUCGCGCACGACGAUAAUGACGGUAGUGCGAGAAGAAGCUCCGGCUAACUUCGUGCCAGCAGCCGCGGUAAUACGAAGGGGGCUAGCGUUGUUCGGAAUUACUGGGCGUAAAGCGCGCGCAGGCGGCUUUUCAAGUCAGGGGUGAAAGCCCGGAGCUCAACUCCGGAACUGCCUCUGAGACUGUGAAGCUUGAGUACGGGAGAGGUGAGUGGAAUUCCGAGUGUAGAGGUGAAAUUCGUAGAUAUUCGGAAGAACACCGGUGGCGAAGGCGGCUCACUGGCCCGUUACUGACGCUCAGGCGCGACAGCGUGGGGAGCAAACAGGAUUAGAUACCCUAGUAGUCC
rnacentral:rRNA from 1 species